AGAUUGAACGCUGGCGGCAGGCCUAACACAUGCAAGUCGAGCGGUAGAGAGGUGCUUGCACCUCUUGAGAGCGGCGGACGGGUGAGUAAUGCCUAGGAAUCUGCCUAGGUGGUGGGGGAUAACGUUCGGAAACGGACGCUAAUACCGCAUACGUCCUACGGGAGAAAGGCGGGGACCUUCGGGCCUCGCGCCAUUAGAUGAGCCGUAGGUCGGAUUAGCUAGUUGGUGAGGUAAUGCUCACCAGGCGACGAUCCGUAACUGGUCUGAGAGGAUGUAUCAGUCCACUACGUGGAAACUGAGACCGACCGGUCCAAGACCUCCGUACGGGAGCAGCGAGGUAGGGAAUAGUUGGAACAGUGGGACGAAGCCUGACUC
rnacentral:rRNA from 1 species